UUUCGGUAAAAAUAAUUAUUGAAUAAACUGUUAAAUAUAAAAAUAAUACUAGAAUCACUCUAGUCAAAACUAGAGUGAUAAGAAGUAAUAAACUACUCUCUCAAUUUCUAAAUACUAAUAUAAAUAUUAUGUUAUCAAACAGUAUAAAUAAGAUAAGAAGUACUUUGAUUGGAGUCAAACCACUAAACAUUGCUUUAAAAUUGAUGUCGAACAAGGCCUCGAUAUAAAUAUAUAAUAUAUCUUGAUGAUAUUCCAUGCUUAGAUAUAUAUAUUGCCUUUCUUUCUCCUUCUGAAAAAACAAAUGAAAGGAAUCAAAAGAAUGAAUUAAUGGAAUCAAAAUGAGAUAAAAGAUUUGAUGAGCGAUAUGAAUUAUAAUUUAUAAAAGAUAAUACUCAAAAUUAAACGAUAUAACUAUUGAAGAUUAAAAGGGCAAUCUAAAUAUGGUUAGAGAGUCAUGUUUAAGUGAUCAAGUCCUUUUUGGGUAUUGGAAUGGGUUGAGCAUGAGUUAAGAACAUGCAUUCUAUGGUUAGAGAGCCAUGGAGAGACUUCUGAAUUAGUAACAGACUUUCAAUGGUGGAUGAGUCAUGGACUCUUUUGAGAAGUUCCAUAAUGGUGUGAUAAAGAGAGAUUCCAUGUCCAUUUUGUUAUUUUCUUUUAGAAUGAGUUUGGGCAUUUACCUAAUCUUGUUUGCUAGACUGAACUUGAUAAAAUAUAAAAUAGUCACCCAUUCUCUAGUUAAAGAAUAUUUCCCACCUAUAGAAUAGAUCAUUUAAUAUGCCCUUUUCAUAAAAUAUACCAAAGAGUAUGCUCAUAUUAAUUUUCCUACAAAUAGGGCCGUGUUAAACACAAGAAAAAGUUCCUUCUCCUCUCUCUCUACACAGUUAUUAUCUAUCUAUCACUAUAAAAUAAUAUCCUCUCUAACUUGAGCAUCGGAGAGUCUUUAUUGAAACCUUUCUCUUAAUAGAUUUCUGACCAAUUUAUCUUUGUACUAUAGGUCCCCUAACUAAGACCAUAUUUGAAUUCUCAUGUCAAAGCCACAAUUUCAUGCUUCAUGAAAACCAUAGCACUUCAAUGGAAUUCCAUUGUGGCAGAGAUAAAGUGCAUAUAUAUAUCUUUUGGAAAAAAAAAAUUAUCAAGAUUAAGUAUUAUUAUUAAUAAUAACUUUUUUCUCCAAGAAAAAUGGAGAGUGUAUAAAAAAGCAGAGUAUUAUUGUUAUUAUAAUUGUAAGAUUUACAAUUUUAAGUAUUUUUGAGUUAGUUUUUGCACAUUGAUAUUAAAUUCCCUCCUCGAGUAAUUUUUAAGGCAAACUUCUAUGAAAGUUUUGUGAUUAGGUGAGUCCUUGAAUGAGUGCUACGUGGGUGGGAAUACAGAAUAGGCUUGUACGAACACUAGUUUGCGCUGAACAACCACUUCAUGAGCUGAAGAGGUCUUUAUGAGUGGGUAAGAAGCGAUCUGCAAGAGGAAAUGGUCAAGAGACAAGUAUGGCUUCCCUUCUUGGCAUUCUGAUGCUCACGUUAGUGGCAGUAUUUAACAGUGAAUAACUAAGAGUAAAACAGGAGAGUAAAUGCUGAGAGUUUUUGAGUCUUUCAAUGUUUUAUACUUAAUACUCGCAAGGGGUUAUAUAGCAUUAUCAAUCAAAUAAGGGAUUUCUAAAUGGCUUGUUAAAGUAAGUAAACAAGUUGUAAAUAUUAUCCAACUAGUGCAUAUUCAAAGCAGAAGUGUCAUUUAUGGCACUUGUAGAUGAUAUUUAUUACUUUUAUAACUUAAAAUUUUUAGUGACGAUUAUUUAUUAUCUAAGGGUUAGUGUCCUAUUUUAGCAGCUUUGUGCCAAUACCUUAUUUGAGUAGGAGCUCUGAAUAUUUAAUGUGCCUAAUCAGCUAUUUAAUUCUUUCAAUCAACUUAAGAUGACUUGAAAUGCAUACACUUUUUGUAGAGGCUUUAAAGUACUCAUUAGAAGAGCUUUACAGAGAUUACACAAACGCUCAUAUUCAAGUAUGCAGAUCGUAGAAGCAUUGAGCUUAGGCUUACCUUUUCGGGUACCCGGGAGGAGAACAACAGUAAUGGACGACUUCGACUCCUUUGGAUGCUGAGGUCAUGGUCUUAGAUCUAGACAUUGACAUAAUUUAAAUAUAUGUGAGUAUUCUUCGCAUUAACCUGAUGUAUUUAAGAUAAAUAAUUUUAAAGUGCUACUCAGUAAAAUAAAACUUUUAUUGAUAAUUAAAAAGAGCUCUCAUUUUUAUGAGCUCUCAUUUUUUGUGGCUUAUUUCAUUAAUGUUUAAAUUCCUUUUUAUUUUUAUUUUCUUCUACCCUCUCUCUAGUUGAUCUAUGCCCUACCCAAGAUUGGUCUUUGUUCUUCCCUUCUUAUCACAGGCUAAAAAUUGAGCUCUCUAAAUCCUUUCUUGCAUCUUAGUACCCACUUCAAUGUUCAAAGGAUUUAUAAUCUUCUCAAUAGUUUCUUAGAAUAUAAAUUAUGAACAAUCUCAAGGGAAUAAAUACAAUCCAUUACAAACAACACAAACAAUCUCAAAUAAAAUAAAAUCAAAAUAAGAAAUUAAACUAAAAUUAAAAUGAGAAAAAUUAAAAAAAGAAAAGUAAAAUGAUAACUGAAACUGAAUUGGUUAGUCAAAAACUAAAUUAAAUAGAUUCAAUUUGAUUUUUAAUUUAAAUUAAAAUUAUGCUCAGCCCUAAAAACAAGUAAUUCAAAAUACUAAUAAAAAAUUAUUAAAAGAUAAUCCCCAACCAAAACACAUGACAAAUUGAUUGAUGAUUGUAUAUACAGUUUUAAUGGAAUCAAUCAAUUACACAAAUAAGCUGAGGCAUGAGGUAUGAACUUGAACUACCUUUUCAUCAGAUCAAUGACAACCCAAUUAAACAAUUGAAAAACAUAAUGAAAUUCAACCCACCAAAUCAUGGCCGUUUAUCUUUAUCAUGAUGCAUCUUCUUCUUCUUGGCAUAGCUCUUCCCAUGAAAGUCAAUAAAAAGAACCAAAAGGGAAGCGUUGAAAACAGCAUUGAAGCACCAAGCCCAUAUUCCAGAGCAACCUAAUCCAGUGAAAUGGUAGUACAGCAUCAAACCAGAAAUUCCAAAACUAAACACGAAUUGCACAAUCUGGCAAUCAGUGACCAAUCUUUUCCACUUGGGUCGCACGCCCAUUGCACACCAUAGAUAGUAAUAGUACAUCAACACAUGAACAAUUGCAUUAGUCACCAAAGCCACAGGGAACAAAGAUUGGCAAGUAUUAAGCCACAAAUAACACAUAAUAACCACAGUAGCAUGAUGGUAGACGUGGAGAAAUGUCAACCUUUGAAUUGAAUUACUGAGAAUGAUCAAAAGGGUAUCCAAGAAUUCAAGAAUUUUCGAGAGGUAGAAGAUGUAGGCCCAGAAAAAGAGGGGCCCAGAUGGUGAAACGUGAGGAGGGAAGCAAAUGAUGUGUUGGAGAUGAGGAGUGUGGAAGAUGAUGGAUAAGGUGCAACCAAGGGCCAUGAUGAAGGAAAGGAGGAAAAGAGUGAGGCUAUGGAUGGCAGAGAGUGGUUUUAGAAUGUGGGAUCCAAGGGAACUAGGGAAGGAAAAAUAGGAGAGGAGGAAAGUGAGGGAAAGAUAGGUGAAGAUUGUGAAGAAGAGGAAUUGAGGGGUGGAGCCGAGGGUGUGUCCUGGGGUCCAUGAGAAGUGGAGGAUUGAAGGGUGGUUCACUAACCAGUAUUGGAGAGUAGAGAGGAUUGAGUUCAUUUUCUUGGGGCUAAGAAGUGGUGGUGGGUGGAGGAGGGAGGUGGUGGGAAUGGGAUUCAGAGGGAAAGGUUAUGGAAGGGUGGAGGGUUAUAGAAAUGGGAUUUUAAGGUAUGGUGUGUUAUCUUUUUUUUUUAUGUGAACUGUAGAGUGUGGUUAAACAUUUUAGGCAAAACUAGCCUAGAAAUUUGCAGGAUGUGGGCAUUGCCCCUCCACUGAUAAAAUAUAAUGUCUCUUUAUGAGGAUUCUGAUCUACAGCAGCAAGCCAUUAUUCUAAUUCAAUUUUUAAUUUUC
rnacentral:misc_RNA from 1 species